rnacentral:rRNA from 1 species
UACGGAGGGUGCGAGCGUUAAUCGGAAUUACUGGGCGUAAAGGGUUCGUAGGUGGUUUGAUAAGUUAUCUGUAAAAGCCCUGGGCUCAACCUGGGAACGGCAUUGGAAACUGGCUUACUAGAGUGCGGUAGAGGGGUGUGGAAUUCCCGGUGUAGCAGUGAAAUGCGUAGAUAUCGGGAGGAACAUCUGUGGCGAAGGCGACACCCUGGACCAGCACUGACACUGAGGCACGAAAGCGUGGGGAGCAAAUGGG